rnacentral:rRNA from 1 species
UACGGGGGGGGCAAGCGUUGUUCGGAAUUACUGGGCGUAAAGGGCUCGUAGGCGGCCAACUAAGUCAGACGUGAAAUCCCUCGGCUUAACCGGGGAACUGCGUCUGAUACUGGAUGGCUGGAGUUUGGGAGAGGGAUGCGGAAUUCCAGGUGUAGCGGUGAAAUGCGUAGAUAUCAGGAGGAACACCAAUGGCGAAGGCAGCUCGCUGGGACGUGACUGACGCUGAGACGCGAAAGCGUGGGGAGCAAACAGG